CACGUAGGGGGCGAGCGUUGUCCGGAUUUAUUGGGCGUAAAGAGCUCGUAGGCGGUUCGGCAAGUCGGGUGUGAAAUUUCGAGGCUCAACCUCGAAACGCCACUCGAUACUGCUGUGACUGGAGUCCGGUAGAGGAGUGCGGAAUUCCUGGUGUAGCGGUGAAAUGCGCAGAUAUCAGGAGGAACACCAACGGCGAAGGCAGCACUCUGGGCCGGUACUGACGCUGAGACGCGAAAGCGUGGGGAGCGAACAGG
rnacentral:rRNA from 1 species